GAAGAUUUGAAACAACAAAAAUGACCACAAUUAUUAUACCGGUAAAUAUGGCUUUGGUGUUUCGCUGUUGCAAUGCGAAUGCCAAACGAGAUUUGGUCACAUCUGGCCUUUGCGUCACGUUGCAAGUUUGCUGAAUAUUUUUCGAAUGUUUAUGAAGUGAGAAGCAAAGUUUAGCAUAAAGAAGGCUUAAAAAUAUUAUAGGCAGUAAAAAUUGUAAGGCUAGCUGACUAUGCAAGUAAAUAUCGUAUAAAAAUAUACCCAAAUAUGUAUCAGAACAGAGGUUAGAAUAGUUAGAAUGUGUUUCGGCGUCAAGCGAAACGAAUUUUGGCGCCA